AAAAAAAAACCAACCUGAUGAUCCUUUUCUGAUUAUUUCGUACACAACUUCCCUCACAAUAUAAUUAGAGGCGGCUUUCUCAUUUUCUCUUUCUAAGGUUGUAUAAGGAAAAAAAUAAGAUUAGGUUUAGUUAUUUAUUUAUUAAUAAAUCUUAUUAAUUCUCCUAAUUAUAAUUGGAUUUAUUACUACCCACAUUUAAUUAAAUUAAACUCAAUUAAUUUUAAAGGUCCAAAUUGUACUAAAUUAAUUUACCCAUCUCUUAUUAAU
rnacentral:lncRNA from 1 species